rnacentral:misc_RNA from 1 species
AAGUCGUAACAAGGUUUCCGUAGGUGAACCUGCGGAAGGAUCAUUAUUGAAAAUUAGUUAGCGUACUCUCCCGGGUGACCGACCCGUCUGGGUACAAAUAGACACCCGGAUUGUAGCAACUAUAUUCAACCACUUGUGAAUUUGUAAUUUAUAUCUUACCAACUGACUGUUAACGAAGACUGAUUCAAUAACUUUUGGUGUUUAAAGACACUAAUACAAUCAUUGAAACAACUUUUGGCAACGGAUCUCUUGGCUCUC